AGUGAACGCUGGCGGUAGGCCUAACACAUGCAAGUCGAACGGCAGCGCAGUAAGAGCUUGCUCUUACGGGUGGCGAGUGGCGGGCGGGUGAGGAAUACAUCGGAAUCUACUUUUUCGUGGGGGAUAACGUAGGGAAACUUACGCUAAUACCGCAUACGACCUACGGGUGAAAGCAGGGGAUCUUCGGACCUUGCGCGAUUGAAUGAGCCGAUGUCGGAUUAGCUAGUUGGCGGGGUAAAGGCCCACCAAGGCGAUGAUCCGUAGCUGGUCUGAGAGGAUGAUCAGCCACACUGGAACUGAGACACGGUCCAGACUCCUACGGGAGGCAGCAGUGGGGAAUAUUGGACAAAGGGCGCAAGCCUGAUCCAGCCAUACCGCGUGGGUGAAGAAGGCCUUCGGGUUGUAAAGCCCUUUUGUUGGGAAAGAAAAGCAGCAGGUUAAUACCCCGCUGUUCUGACGGUACCCAAAGAAUAAGCACCAGCUAACUUCGUG
rnacentral:rRNA from 1 species